rnacentral:rRNA from 1 species
AGAACGAACGCUGGCGGCAGGCCUAACACAUGCAAGUCGAACGCCGUAGCAAUACGGAGUGGCAGACGGGUGAGUAACGCGUGGGAACCUUCCAAGUGGUACGGAAUAGCUCAGGGAAACUUGAGGUAAUACCGUAUACGCCCCUCGGGGGAAAGAUUUAUCGCCAUUGGAUGGGCCCGCGUCGGAUUAGCUAGUUGGUGGGGUAACGGCCUACCAAGGCGACGAUCCGUAGCUGGUCUGAGAGGAUGAUCAGCCACACUGGGACUGAGACACGGCCCAGACUCCUACGGGAGGCAGCAGUGGGGAAUAUUGGACAAUGGGCGAAAGCCUGAUCCAGCCAUGCCGCGUGAGUGACGAAGGCCUUAGGGUUGUAAAGCUCUUUUGGCGGGGACGAUAAUGACGGUACCGCAGAAUAAGCUCCGGCUAACUUCGUGCCAGCAGCCGC